AGCUUCCUCUCUUUCUUCACCGAGAUCUGAUCUCCUCUCCGCCUCUCCCCCUCCCCCUUUACCUUCUGUGGCUCCGUCACUCCGUGCCCCUCCCUCUGCCUCGCAUCAUCUCUGCCGCCAUCCGGGCCGCCUCUCCCUCUCCAUCGCUACUCUCCACUGAGAUCUGAAUAUGAGUUUCGGGUCCUAGAACUGAGUCCGAAUACUUAAGACCCAUUAGGGUUCGGGUCUGGUACUUUAAGGUCGAAUCCAUCAAAUAUUCGAGUCUGGGUCCGAUACCAGU
rnacentral:lncRNA from 1 species